AGCGGGAUCAUCGCCUCUGUCCCAUAGGCCAAGCUGAAAGGAGAUUCUCCGGUCGGGACAUGGGGUGUCGUUCGAUACGCCCAUAGGAUGAAAUUCAAUUCCUCGACCUAGAGGCCUUUGGCUUCAUUCAAUCAGAUCUUGAGUCCAUGCUAAAUAGUCCGGUUGGUUACCUCGACCUCGCCGUUGGACUGUGGAUGCCCGAUCGAGG
rnacentral:lncRNA from 1 species